AUUGAACGCUGGCGGCAGGCCUAACACAUGCAAGUCGAGCGGAUGAAGGGAGCUUGCUCCUGGAUUCAGCGGCGGACGGGUGAGUAAUGCCUAGGAAUCUGCCUGGCAGUGGGGGAUAACGUCCGGAAACGGGCGCUAAUACCGCAUACGUCCUGAGGGAGAAAGUGGGGGAUCUUCGGACCUCACGCCAUCAGAUGAGCCUAGGUCGGAUUAGCUAGUUGGUGGGGUAAAGGCCUACCAAGGCGACGAUCCGUAACUGGUCUGAGAGGAUGAUCAGUCACACUGGAACUGAGACACGGUCCAGACUCCUACGGGAGGCAGCAGUGGGGAAUAUUGGACAAAGGGCGAAAGCCUGAUCCAGCCAUGCCGCGUGUGUGAAGAAGGUCUUCGGAUUGUAAAGCACUUUAAGUUGGGAGGAAGGGCAGUAAGUUAAUACCUUGCUGUUUUGACGUUACCAACAGAAUAAGCACCGGCUAACUUCGUG
rnacentral:rRNA from 1 species